AUACGUAGGUGACAAGCGUUAUCCGGAUUUACUGGGCGUAAGGGGCGUGUAGGCGGUCUUGCAAGUCAGAAGUGAAAUUCCUGAGCUCAACUCGGGCGCUGCUUCUGAAACUGCAGGACUUGAGUGCUGGAGGGGAUAGCGGAAUUCCUAGUGGAGCGGUAAAAUGCGCAGAUAUUAGGAAGAACACCGGUGGAGAAGGCGGCAUUCUGGGCAUAACCUGACGCUGAGGCUCGAAAGCGUGGGGAGCAAACAGGAUUAGAUUCCCUGGUAUUCCACGCCGUACACGAUUAGUACUAGGUGUAGGGGGUAUCGACGCCCUCUGUGCCGCAGUUAACACAAUAAGUAUUCCGCCUGGGGAGUACGGCCGCAAGGUUGAAACUCAAAUGAAUUGACGGGG
rnacentral:rRNA from 1 species